GUUGAUAUUUUAAAUAUUCUGCUCCAUUCUUUCCAACUACUUUUGCCAAAACUACACAACAAUCAGCGAACCUGUAGAUUGCCCUCUGCUAAAAUGUAGUAAGGAAUGUUCAAAUGGUUAUCAAGUCGAUGAAAAUGGAUGUAGAACCUGCCGUUGCAAUUGCUUCCAGUUAGGUUGCAAAGAAUGUAUACAUGGUAAUAAAGUCGAUGAAAACGGAUGUAAAACUUGCCAAUGCGAUUGUCCCCUUUUUAAAUGUAAGGAGUGUGCUAAUGGCAAUCAAGUCGAUCAAAAUGGAUGUAGAACCUGCCGUUGCAAUUGCCCUAAAAUUAAACUAAAGUGUCCUUUUUGCCCAAAUGGUUAUCAAUUGGAUGAUAAUGGAUGUGUGACUUGCAAUUGCG